GAGUGCCACUUGUACGUCCGCAGAGCGGGCGGCGAUAGCAAGCUGAAGGAAUACGAAUCCAUCCAAAGCAGAUCCAGUGCAGCCUCAGGGGCGCGAGGCAGGUAGCACGUCGCCGCCCCCGCAGGCGAACCUCUCCCGCGCUGCCACCAGCAGCAGCAGAGCAUCAUCAUCGUCAUCAUUUAUUAUAGAGAGGGCGGGGCGCGCGCGCGAGCGAGCGAGUUCGUUCCCGUGGUGAAGAAACGAUCGACCGGCAGUCGGGACGCGGUGCCGUGGGCCGGCUGUCCCUCCCACCCAUCGAUCGAGGAUUCAAGGAUGCUGAUCCUGGAUCUGGGCAUCUGGGUGCUACCCUUGACGCUGCUGCUGGCGCCGGCGCGCCGGAUGGUGCGCCUCGUCGACGGCCUGCAGCGGAUCUUCCUCGCCGUCGCCUGCCACCGGGCGCCGCCGCCCGCGCUCGGGCGGCUGUGGAGCCGCCUCGACCGCCUCGACUCCGCCACCGUCAUGCCCUGACCCUGAUCAUUCAGUGGAUAUGGAUGGAUCAGCGGGUCUACGCUCCCGAACGCGCUGUUUUUUUUUCUCCAUUGACAAAAAAAAGGGCGCUCUUUUGCUGUAAAUUUCAGCUCUUGCUGUCUGCUUAGACUCCGUUUUUUGUUUUGUUUUGUUUUCUGCUUCUCUGUGGUAAUGCGAUCCCUGUAAAUCUCUGUAACUAGAGGCUGCCAACCAUAUGAUUGAUGAACGAAAAGAAUCCCCUAUGCAUGUAUACAGUGAAAGAGGCUUGGGGUGCUCCUUUUUUUUUUCA